rnacentral:tRNA from 1 species
GCAGUGGUGGUUCAGUGUGAGAAUUCUCGCCUUCCAUGAGGGAGACCUGGGUUCGAUUUCCAGCCAGUGUA